GACGAACGCUGGCGGCGUGCUUAACACAUGCAAGUCGAACGGAAAGGCCCUGCUUUUGUGGGGUGCUCGAGUGGCGAACGGGUGAGUAACACGUGAGUAACCUGCCCUUGACUUUGGGAUAACUUCAGGAAACUGGGGCUAAUACCGGAUAGGAGCGCCUGCUGCAUGGUGGGGGUUGGAAAGUUUCGGCGGUUGGGGAUGGACGCGCGGCUUAUCAGCUUGUUGGUGGGGUAGUGGCUUACCAAGGCUUUGACGGGUAGCCGGCCUGAGAGGGUGACCGGCCACAUUGGGACUGAGAUACGGCCCAGACUCCUACGGGAGGCAGCAGUGGGGAAUAUUGCACACUGGGCGGCAGCCUGAUGCAGCAACGCCGCGUGCGGGAUGACGGCCUUCGGGUUGUAAACCGCUUUCGCCUGUGACGAAGCGUGAGUGACGGUAAUGGGUAAAGAAGCACCGGCUAACUACGUG
rnacentral:rRNA from 1 species